GCCGGGAUAGCUCAGCUGGGAGAGCGACAGACUGAAGUUUGCGUAUAUUAUAUACUGUACUUUCUUCUGCAGGUCAGGUGUUCGAGCCACCUUCCUGGCA